rnacentral:rRNA from 1 species
UAUGGUUGUUAUAUAAAGUCUAGCCUGCCCACUGAUUUAGUUUAAAGGGCCGCGGUAUAUUGACCGUGCGAAGGUAGCAUAAUCAUUAGUCUUUUAAUUGAAGGCUUGUAUGAAUGGUUGGACAAAAAGUAAGCUGUCUCAAUUAUAAUAAUUGAAUUUAACUUUUAAGUGAAAAGGCUUAAAUAAAUUAAGGGGACGAUAAGACCCUAUAAAGCUUGACAAUAAUUUAAUUAUACUAUCAAUUGUUAGUAUAACUUGGUUUUAAUUAAUAUUUGUUGCGUUGGGGCGACGAGAAUAUAAUAGGUAACUGUUCUUAAAUAUUUAAUAACAAAUAUAAUUGGAAAUUAGUAUGAUCCUCUAUUAGCGAUUAAAAGAUUAAGUUACUUUAGGGAUAACAGCGUAAUCUUCUUUGAGAGUCCCUAUCGACAAGAAGGUUUGCGACCUCGAUGUUGAAUUAAGGUAUCCUUAUGAUGCAGCAGUUAUAAAGGAAGGUCUGUUCGACCUUUAAAUCCUUAC